rnacentral:rRNA from 1 species
AUGCGAGCGUUAUCCGGAUUUAUUGGGUUUAAAGGGUGCGUAGGCGGACGCUUAAGUCAGCGGUAAAAUUGCGGGGCUCAACCUCGUCGAGCCGUUGAAACUGGGUGCCUUGAGUGGGCGAGAAGUACGCGGAAUGCGUGGUGUAGCGGUGAAAUGCAUAGAUAUCACGCAGAACUCCGAUUGCGAAGGCAGCGUACCGGCGCCCAACUGACGCUGAAGCACGAAGGCGUGGGUAUCGAA